rnacentral:rRNA from 1 species
GGUAGUGUUAAUAGCACUAUCAUUUGACGUUAGCGACAGAAGAAGCACCGGCUAACUCCGUGCCAGCAGCCGCGGUAAUACGGAGGGUGCGAGCGUUAAUCGGAAUUACUGGGCGUAAAGCGCAUGCAGGUGGUUUGUUAAGUCAGAUGUGAAAGCCCGGGGCUCAACCUCGGAAUUGCAUUUGAAACUGGCAGACUAGAGUACUGUAGAGGGGGGUAGAAUUUCAGGUGUAGCGGUGAAAUGCGUAGAGAUCUGAAGGAAUACCGGUGGCGAAGGCGGCCCCCUGGACAGAUACUGACACUCAGAUGCGAAAGCGUGGGGAGCAAACAGGAUUAGAUACCCUGGUAGUCCACGCCGUAAACGAUGUCUACUUGGAGGUUGUGGCCUUGAGCCGUGGCUUUCGGAGCUAACGCGUUAAGUAGACCGCCUGGGGAGUACGGUCGCAAGAUUAAAACUCAAAUGAAUUGACGGGGGCCCGCACAAGCGGUGGAGCAUGUGGUUUAAUUCGAUGCAACGCGAAGAACCUUACCUACUCUUGACAUCCAGAGAACUUUCCAGAGAUGGAUUGGUGCCUUCGGGAACUCUGAGACAGGUGCUGCAUGG